rnacentral:rRNA from 1 species
CCUACGGGUGGCAGCAGUGGGGAAUAUUGGGCAAUUGUCGCAAGCCUGACCCAGCAACGCCGCGUGAAGGAAGAAGGCUUUCGGGUUGUACACUUCUUUUGUCAGGGAAGAGUAGAAGACGGUACCUGACGAAUCAGCCACGGCUACCUACGUGCGAGCAGCCGCGGUAAGACGUAGGUGGCAAGCGUUGUCCGGAUUUACUGGGUGUAAAGGGCGUGUAGCCGGGUUGACAAGUCAGAUGUGAAAUCCUGCGGCGUAACCGCAGAACUGCAUUGGACACUGUGGAUCUUGAGUACUGGAGAGGCAGAUGGAAUUACGAGUGUAGCGGUGAAAUGCGUAGAUAUUAGGAGGAACACCAGUGGCGAAGGCGGUCUGCUGGACAGCAACUGACGGUGAGGCGCGAAAGCGUGGGGAGCAAACAGGAUUAGAUACCCCUGUAGUC